rnacentral:rRNA from 1 species
GACGAACGCUGGCGGCGUGCUUAACACAUGCAAGUCGAACGGAAAGGCCUGCUUUCCCUUGUGGAUUGCGGGUACUCGAGUGGCGAACGGGUGAGUAACACGUGAGUGAUCUGCCCCCAACUUGGGUAUAAGCCUGGGAAACUGGGUCUAAUUCCCGAUAGGACUGCAGGGUGGUGCCUGUGGUGGAAAACGAUUUUCUAGUGGUUGGGGAUGAGCUCGCGGCCUAUCAGCUUGUUGGUGGGGUAAUGGCCUACCAAGGCGGCGACGGGUAGCCGGCCGGAGAGGGUGGACGGCCACAGUGGGACUGAGAUACGGCCCAGACUCCUACGGGAGGCAGCAGUGGGGAAUAUUGCACAAUGGGCGGAAGCCUGAUGCAGCGACGCCGCGUGGGGGAUGACGGCCUUCGGGUUGUAAUCUCCUUUCGACCGCGAGGAAGCCACCUGGUUGGAAGGGUGGUGACGGUAGUGGUAGAAGAAGCACCGGCUAACUACGUG